GAUGAAGAACGUAGCGAAAUGCGAUAAGUAAUGCGAAUUGCAGAAUUCAGUGAGUCAUCGAAUCUUUGAACGCACAUUGCGCCCUGUGGUAUUCCGCAGGGCAUGCCUGUUCGAGCGUCAUUUCAACCCUCAAGCUCUGCUUGGUGUUGGGCCCUGCCCGCUGCGGCCGGCCCUAAAGACAGUGGCGGUGCCGCCUGGCCCUGAGCGUAGUACAUCUCUCGCUCCAGUGCCCGGUGGUAGCCUGCCAGAACCCCAACUCUCGUGGUUGACCUCGUAUCAGGUAGGGAUACCCGCUGAACUUAAGCAUAUCAAUAAGCGGAGGA
rnacentral:misc_RNA from 1 species